rnacentral:lncRNA from 1 species
AGAUUGAAACUUUCCAAUUUCAAAAUCUGAUUUUUUUGAAUCUUAGAUGACACACACACACACAAAACACAUAAAGAUUGAAACUUUUUAAUUUCAAAAUCUGACAUUUUUGAGUUUUGAUUUAAUUUUGGUGAAGAUGGGUUCAAAGAUGAAGCCAACAGUAUUCAACGAGAGAGUAGCAACAGCAUUAAAGAGUUGGCAUCACACAGCUAAGAAACAGAUUAAACAUGGAAGAACUUCAGAAUCAACAACACCUUUCUCUAGCCGACCAACAACACCAACACAUGGUUCUUCUCCGAUUCAUCUUCUCCGCAAUGCCCCUCACAAACGAAGCAGAAGCGUCGACGAAAGCUUCGCGAAUUCGAUGUCUCCAAGAAACUCUGAUUUCGAUUCAUGGGAUCCUGAAUCUCAACACGAAGCAGCUGAGACUUCGAAUUCAAAUCAUUGUUCUAGGGUUAGAGAAGAAGAGUCGGAGAAAAAGUUUGUUUCUUCAUCAUCUGUGGAACUUCCUCCAGGACCUGGACAAAUACGAACACAGCAUGAGAUUAGUACUAUAAGCUUAAGAGAUUUUUCGUUUAAACGAUGAUUUUAUAUUUCCUUAAUUGAUGAUUUGUUAAUACGAAAACAGUUGUUGUACAUUUUCAACAUUAUACAUAAAUAUUACUUUUUGUGGUAAUAAAAAUUUCAGCUUUAUACAUAUUCUUUUCAUUUUACAUAUUUGUUGAUCACUUCUCUAUGAGACUCUGAAACCUAAUUUCUCAUUCUCAAUGUAGAGCCUGCAUAUUGUUUAUAAUUUGAGCCUUGAGGUAUCUGUUAAAAAGUCUAUGCAGAUUCAUGGGUAGUUGGGGAAGAGUGGGUCCUUCUUGAUAGAUUUGUUUGCCAUGGCUGAGUUUGAGAGUCUGUGAAAGAUGUGAUAUCAGAAGUAGAAAGCAUGCAAGGUGUUUGAUAAAAUGCCUGAGUGAGAAUUGGUUUCCUGAAACACAGUGGUUUCUGGGUAUAAAGAUAGAUUGGAUUGGCGAGGAUGGUAUUAGACAUGGUUUGUAGAAUCUGAAGCCUGGUGUUAUCACCAUUGUUGCUUUGAGUGACAAGGUGAUUAGGGAUCUCUUGUCAAUGCCUUCAAGGAUUUGCUAGACAGCUCUUUAAUGGUAUGCUAUUCAUGGGGUUCGAUGAUUGACGGGGUAUGUGCAGAAGGAGAAUUCUAAAGAUGCAAUUUUGUAACUUUAUGGUUUGCAUCCUUUGUGCUUACGUCAACGACCAGGACCUGGUGGCCAGGACCCUUGUAUCUUGGACACAAUGAUAUUUAAAAUUAGAUACAUUUUCAUUGGUUAUGGGAUCAACAAAUGAAAAUAGUCUGUUCGUUACAUAUUUUGAUGCAUAUUUUCAUUGGUUAUGGGAUCAACAAGUUGAGGACCUGAAAAUGACACAAAUGUUUCAAUAUGAGGUCAACCGUUGCAUGGUUGAUUGGGUAAAAGGUUGGAAUUCUUUGGAGCCAACUGGUAAACAGAAGCAUUUCGUUUACUUAAUUCUGUAUUAUAAAACAAGGUCUAAGUUGACCGUGAAUUAAGUGAUGCAGUAUCUUGGAAGAUGGGUGAGCCUGUGGUCAACAUUGUUCAGAGGUGCUUGAGAAUCUUUCUCAUAAGUUCUGGAGCUUGUUUUCUUGGCUCACUUUCUCGUGUUUACAUGUUCCUUUCUUAUACUAAUCUGAAAGAGAUUGUUUUUGGAGACACAAGAACAAACAUGGGAAAGAUGAGGUUUUUCUUUGCGUGUUUGCUCUUGUUUACCAUGCUCUUAAGUUUUACCUACGCAGCUAUAACAACAGAAAGUCCUUUGUCAAUAGGACAAACUCUCAGCUCUUCUAAUAAUGUUUAUGAAUUGGGGUUCUUCAGUCCUAAUAACUCCCAGAGUUUGUAUGUUGGAAUCUGGUUCAAGGGUAUCAUUCCUCGGGUGGUUGUGUGGGUGGCCAAUAGAGAAAAUCCUGUUACAGACUCUACGGCAAAUCUAGCUAUCGGCAGCAAUGGAAGUCUUCUCUUAUCUAAUGGCAAACAUGGCGUUAUCUGGUCCAUUGGAGAAACUUUUGCAUCUAACGGGUCUCGUGCAGAGCUUUCAGACAGCGGAGAUCUUUUCCUCAUAGACAAUGCUUCAAGGAGAACUCUAUGGCAAAGCUUUGAGCAUCUUGGUGAUACUAUGCUACCUUACUCCUCAUUGAUGUAUAACCUAGCCACUGGUGAGAAGCGGGUGUUGACUUCUUGGAAAAGUUACACUGAUCCAUCACCUGGUGAAUUUGUGGGUCAGAUUACACCGCAAGUGCCAUCACAGGGGUUUAUUAUGAGAGGCUCGAAGCCUUAUUGGAGAAGCGGUCCAUGGGCUAAAACAAGGUUCACUGGCCUACCACUAACGGAUGAAUCAUACAGAAAUCCAUUUAGCCUUCAGCAGGAUGCAAACGGGUCAGGAUACUUUUCUCAUUUACAAAGAAACUACAAUCGUCCAUUUGUAGUAUUAACAUCAGAGGGAUCACUGAAGCUUACUCAGCAUAAUGGCACGGACUGGGUAUUGAGCUUUGAGGUUCCAGCUAACUCCUGCGAUUUUUACGGUAUAUGUGGACCUUUUGGGUUGUGUGUAAUGUCCAUUCCUCCAAAGUGUAAAUGUUUUAAAGGUUUUGUACCUCAAUACAGUGAGGAAUGGAAAAGAGGAAACUGGACUGGUGGCUGUAUGAGGCGUACUGAACUCCAUUGUCAAGGAAACUCUACUAGCAAAGAUGUAAACGUCUUAUAUCCUGUUGCCAACAUAAAGCCUCCAGACUUUUACGAAUUUGUGUACUCAGGGAGUGCAGAAGAAUGCUACCAAAGUUGCCUCCACAAUUGUUCGUGCUUGGCUGUAUCUUAUAUUCAUGGAAUAGGCUGCUUAAUGUGGAGCCAGGAACUAAUGGAUGUAGUGCAAUUCUCUGCGGGAGGAGAGCUUCUUUUCAUUCGUCUUGCACGUUCUGAAAUGGGUAUGCCUUGAAAAAAUAACAUCCAAGAGCUUUGUCAUUUACAACUUUGUCUUCAUAUUCACUGAUCAGCGUGGCUUGUUUGUUUCUUUUUUCUUAUAUAUCUCAGGUGGAAACUCGCGCAAGAAGACCAUUACUGCUAGUAUUGUCAGCCUUUCUCUUUUUGUGAUACUGGGUUCUUCUGCGUUUGGUUUCUGGAGAUACAGAUUGAAACAUAAUGGUAACUCAUUGAUGACCUUACUAUUUCUACAUCAAUCUUUUGUUGUUAUCUUUUCAUUUUCUUGGUAACCGAAUGACUAAUUAGAAAGACCCCCAAAGCGCUUCGAAUUAUUGAUAUGCAACAUAAAAGCAAAAGAGUUUUUCCACGACAUCUUUAUAUAUGCAUCAAUUCUUGUAGUCUUAUCUUGAGUUGUGGUAUCGUUAUCAUUUGGUGGAAUUCCACUAAAUAGACUAAUGCAAACAUGUCCUAGAGACCAUGAUCUAUUCUUUCUGUACCUUGGUUUCCGGCUUGCUUGAGAAAAUUAUGCUCAUUUUGAGAUUUGGCUUGAUGGUUAAAUAACUAGAUGUUAAGCACUAACACAUGAAUUCUUGAAACUCUAGUUUCAGCUAAUAUAUCAAAGGUUGUUUCACAAGGUGCAUUGAGGAAUGAUCUGAAACCAGAAGAUAUCCCAGGUUUAUAUUUCUUUGAGAUGAAGACCAUUGAAGUUGCCACCAAUAAUUUCAGUCUCUUAAACAAACUCGGACAAGGUGGAUUUGGUUCAGUUUACAAGGUCAGGAAAUUUUAUUCUCUUUGCUCUUUUCAUCUCGAGAAUGUUACAUCAAUUUCUUUACCUUGUGCAAUCUAUCUCAGGGAAAGCUGCAAGAUGGGAAAGAUAUUGCUGUAAAACGUCUUUCUAGCAGCUCCAGACAGGGCAAAGAGGAGUUCAUGAAUGAAAUAGUACUCAUCUCAAAACUCCAACACAGAAACUUGGUUCGGAUUUUGGGAUGUUGCAUUGAAGGAGACGAACGGCUAUUGAUUUAUGAAUUCAUGGUGAACAAGAGCCUUGAUACUUUUAUCUUUGGUGGGUUCCUUCUUGCCUAUUUCCCUUUUUAUUAGCAGCUUUAAUACUACAUGGAACUGUCUUAUCUGAAAGUUUCUACACUGUUUUUUUGUGUAGAUUCAAGAAAAAGGCUUGAGAUUGAUUGGCCUAAGAGAUUCAAUAUCAUUCAAGGUAUUGCGCGUGGACUUCUCUAUCUCCACCGUGACUCACGCCUCAGGGUUAUUCACCGAGAUCUGAAGGUUAGCAAUAUUCUUCUCGAUGAAAAAAUGAACCCGAAAAUAUCAGACUUUGGAUUGGCUCGGAUGUAUCAAGGAACCCAAUAUCUGGACAAAACUCGCAGGGUUGUAGGAACUCUGUAAGAACCAUUCUUCGAAAACAUGCUUAUCUAGGAUUUAUAGUUAUAGUGAUAUAUUAACUUGGGAAACUAUCUAAUAUAUGUGCAGAGGAUAUAUGUCUCCUGAGUAUGCAUGGACUGGAGUUUUCUCUGAGAAGUCUGACACCUAUAGCUUCGGAGUUCUUUUGUUAGAAAUUAUCAGUGGAGAGAAGAUCUCAAGGUUUAGCGAUGAUGAAGAGUGCAAAAGCCUUCUUGCAUAUGUAAGUAAGACUUUAGAUAUAGAAACUUGUACUUGAUCUCCAUCAAGUGCAGAGAUUUCACUGCCCGUUUUACAAUGUUUCUUGGUCUUAUAUUUUCUUGUUCUGGAUCCAAAACAGGCGUGGGAAUCUUGGUGCGGAAAUGGAGGAGUUGAUUUUUUGGAUAAAAAUGUGGCUGAUUCAUGUAACCCAUCUGAAGUUGGAAGGUGUGUUCAAAUUGGUCUGCUUUGUGUUCAACACCAACCUGUAGAGAGACCCAACACACUUGAGUUGUUGUCUAUGCUCACCACAACAUCAGAUCUUCCACCACCAAAAGAACCCACAUUUGCAGUCCAUACUAGCGAUGACGGAUCCCGUGCUAAUGAUUUGAUUACCGUCAAUGAGGUGACACAAUCUGUGGUGCUAGGGCGUUAAGAACAACGCUUUACCUUAAUUAAAAUGAUCAAAAUCGUUCAAUGUGUUGUAACUUGUACAUACAUUCAUUUUCAAUUAAAUCUUUUGUUUCUGUUAAUGCCUAAAGGGACUGUAUAUUGUUGAGUUCUGGUUUUGAGGCUUUACUUUAUGUCUGUCUUCUAUUGGGUCUUGGCAUUUAUGCUCUCGCUGGUGGCACUGACACAGCCAAACGUUUCUGUUUAAAUUGGCGAUUUUGAGUAGAAGCACGCGAUGUAAGUGUUCAGUGAAAUGCAUGCACAAGACUUAAGGUUUCAAAGGCUGGAAAAUCCAAGAAUCCCAGCUCUUUCCAAGUCCAAGUAGAUUUAUAAUUCUCUUGAGAAGCUGAAUCAUAAUCUUUUUACUUUGUCUUGAAUUGCUCUUUGAUUUUGCUUUAGGAUGUUAGCUAACACUUCUCCUCUUUGUACACCCUUUUCCCUGUGAAUUUUCUGAGCUACAGUUUCAUUUUUUUCAUUUGUAGCAUAUUGAGGAUUUAACACAAGAAAAGUUUUCGCUGCAAAGGGAUCUUGAUGCUUCACAUGCACUGGCAGAAUCCUUAGCAUCAGAAAAUUCUUCGAUGACAGACACUUAUAACCAGCAGCAGGUACAUGCAAGCUUAUGGCAUCCUAGUUGGAUACUGUCCAACUCUUAUUUUUGUACUAGAAAACAAUCUUGACCAUUUAUAGUAGUUGAGACAUCAUCCCUUCAAAACUAACAAAGUCACAACCUUUUUGUUGAUCUUGCAGACUUAUAGUCCAGAUUCUUUGCGGCUACGUUACUCUUCCUCUAUAUGCUCUUGUUACUCACACACAAAAACACAUAAAAGAUUGAAACUUUCAAUUUCAAAAUCUGAUUUUUUUGAAUCUUGUUGAACUUUUAGUCAAGUUUGGUUCAAAGAUGACACACACACACUGACACACACACACAAACACAUAAGAUUGAAACUUUUCAAUUUCAAAAUCAAACAUUUUUAAAUCUUGAUUCAAUUUUUGGCGAAGAUGAAACCAACAGUGUUCAACGAGAGAGUAGCAACAGCGUUAAAGAGUUGGCAUCACACAGCUAAGAAACAGAUCAAACAUGGAAGAACUUCAGAAUCAACAACACCUUUCUCUAUCCGACCA